AGAUGUGAGGGCAAUCUGGCUGGUAACAUCUGUCUUCCCAUUGAUCACCAGAGUGGAUUCAGCUGAUCUGGCUGGCUAGGGGGGAGUCCCCUUCUUUCCUCACUCCGUGGUCCAUGUGCAGCCCUCCUGAAACUAUGUGUUCAAAGAGAAUGGCCUUUCUUCCUAGAGAAGGACCGUUAUUUGGUCAAAGUUAUAUGAGUAGCUGCGCUCCCCUGCUAGAACCUCCAAACAAGCUCUCAAGGUCUACCGACACUUUUUACCUACCUCGUUAAAGCACCUGUCACAGUGUUAAUCAUGUGUACUUACCUUGCCCA
rnacentral:snRNA from 1 species